rnacentral:misc_RNA from 1 species
CAAUUGAUAUGGCUCUUCAAUGGUGUUCUGAUGCAUACUCUGAUACAAUACUGGGGUAUGCCAAUAGCAUACGCACUAUUGAUGGUGGCACACAUAUAGAUGGUUUCAAGGCUUCAUUAACCAGAACUCUUAAUAAUCUUGGGAAGAAGUCAAAGAUAAUAAAGGAUAAGGAUAUUAAUUUAAGUGGUGAACAUGUGAGAGAGGGC